CUCCGCCCCCCAAAAGGACUGGGAGUAAAGUAAGAAAAUAGACCCAGGUUUGUUUCGUUUAAAGGAGGAUGCAAUUUUGCCCGUGAAUGCAUUUUCUCAAAAUGCGUUUGCUUCAUUCCUUCUUUGCUAAAGAGUAUCAACGGAUUUGCUAAUAACCUAGCCCAGGAACAUCCAGUGUGUGUCAGAUCAAAUCCAAGCAACAAAGCUGCGUGAAACUGCAAAGCCGGUCUGGAAGCUCUGAGCUCCGCUGUCUCAUCCACAUAUAACAUCAGAGCGCCCCCUGCUGGCCAGCGGAGUAGACCACUGCGGGUCAGCCCCCUGAGAAGCAAAUCUUGUUUUUCUGCGCCCCCCGCCCCCCCCCCCUCCAUCACAGUGACUCCCUUCCACCAACCCCACCUCGGUCCUGGAGCAAAACCCCGGAGAGAAAUA